UACGAAGGGGGCUAGCGUUGCUCGGAAUCACUGGGCGUAAAGGGCUCGUAGGCGGCCAACUAAGUCCGACGUGAAAUCCCAAGGCUUAACCUUGGAGCUGCGUCGGAUACUGGAUGGCUUGAAUUCGGGAGAGGGAUGCAGAAUUCCAGGUGUAGCGGUGAAAUGCGUAGAUAUCUGGAGGAAUACCGGUGGCGAAGGCGGCAUCCUGGACCGACAUUGACGCUGAUGAGCGAAAGCUAGGGGAGCAAACGGG
rnacentral:rRNA from 1 species